rnacentral:rRNA from 1 species
GACGGAGGAUGCAAGUGUUCUCCGGAAUCACUGGGCGUAAAGCGUCUGUAGGUGGUUUAAUAAGUCAACUGUUAAAUCUUGAGGCUCAACCUCAAAAUCGCAGUCGAAACUAUUAGGCUAGAGUAUAGUAGGGGUAAAGGGAAUUUCCAGUGGAGCGGUGAAAUGCGUAGAGAUUGGAAAGAACACCGAUGGCGAAGGCACUUUACUGGGCUAUUACUAACACUCAGAGACGAAAGCUAGGGUAGCAAAUGGG